rnacentral:rRNA from 1 species
UACGUAGGGGGCAAGCGUUGUCCGGAUUUAUUGGGCGUAAAGAGCUCGUAGGCGGCUCGGUAAGUCGGAUGUGAAACCUCCAGGCUCAACCUGGAGACGCCAUCUGAUACUGCCGUGGCUUGAGUCCGGUAGAGGAGCAGGGAAUUCCUGGUGUAGCGGUGAAAUGCGUAGAUAUCGGGAGGAACACCAAUGGCGAAGGCAGCUCGCUGGGACGUAACUGACGCUGAGACGCGAAAGCGUGGGGAGCAAACAGG